UCCACACAAUUCGUCGGCAAUUAGUCCUCAUUCACCCCUGCAUAAAUCACGGUAUAAUCGUUGAGAAUUGAGAUUAUAUAAAUAUAUUUUUCUUGAGUUUAAAUUCAAUACAGAAUAGAUAUCACUUGUUUCAGCUAAUUCGGAUUAAACUCAUUUAUCAAGUAAAACACAUUCAAUUGUAAACUACUUGAAUUAAGUAUUUGUAUCUAAAUUCGACUUUUUCAAGUCAAAACAAUAUGCGGCUCACUUGUUCAAAGCUUGAAAUUGGUAAUAAGUUAUAAUGGAGAUGUUUGACAAAAGUGACUAAGCUUUCCAAGUUCAACACGUCAUUUUCUUUAUUAAUGAGGAGCUUAGACACCCCAACUCCCGGGUUCCAUCAUACACUAGCCCUUGCACAUGCAGACCUUGAAUGGUGAACAGUGGAACCGGCCUCUCCUUGCCAUGCAUACAUCGUAUAGGAUAUCAUACGUGUAUAUAUGAUCAAGUGUUCAAAUAUGGAAGGGCUCUAGGGUACAUUUGGCCCUGCUGUCAGAUCACACUUUCAGAUUCUCAUUUGGUCGGCUAGGGAUCGUAUUCUCUAUGUAUCAGAUAAUAUAGAUGUAGCGAGAGUAAAUAUGAUGCAAAAACACAGAGCCAUGGCUGCCUUGAAACUUGAAAGAAAUGGGACCCCUUUGGUCCAAUUGGGUGAGAAGAGUAUUUC
rnacentral:lncRNA from 1 species